rnacentral:rRNA from 1 species
GACGAACGCUGGCGGCGUGCUUAACACAUGCAAGUCGAACGGAAAGGCCCUGCUUUUGUGGGGUGCUCGAGUGGCGAACGGGUGAGUAACACGUGAGUAACCUGCCCUUGACUUUGGGAUAACUUCAGGAAACUGGGGCUAAUACCGGAUAGGAGCUCCUGCUGCAUGGUGGGGGUUGGAAAGUUUCGGCGGUUGGGGAUGGACUCGCGGCUUAUCAGCUUGUUGGUGGGGUAGUGGCUUACCAAGGCUUUGACGGGUAGCCGGCCUGAGAGGGUGACCGGCCACAUUGGGACUGAGAUACGGCCCAGACUCCUACGGGAGGAAGCAGUGGGGAAUAUUGCACACUGGGCGGAGGCCUGAUGCAGCAACGCCGCGUGCGGGAUGACGGCCUUCGGGUUGUAACCCGCUUUCGCCUGUGACGAAGCGUGAGUGACGGUAAUGGGUAAAGAAGCACCGGCUAACUACGUG